rnacentral:rRNA from 1 species
AAUGGGUCAGCGACUUAUAUUCUGUAGCAAGGUUAACCGUAUAGGGGAGCCGAAGGGAAACCGAGUCUUAACUGGGCGUUAAGUUGCAGGGUAUAGACCCGAAACCCGGUGAUCUAGCCAUGGGCAGGUUGAAGGUUGGGUAACACUAACUGGAGGACCGAACCGACUAAUGUUGAAAAAUUAGCGGAUGACCUGUGGCUGGGGGUGAAAGGCCAAUCAAACCGGGAGAUAGCUGGUUCUCCCCGAAAGCUAUUUAGGUAGCGCCUCGUGAACUCAUCUUCGGGGGUAGAGCACUGUUUCGGCUAGGGGGCCAUCCCGGCUUACCAACCCGAUGCAAACUACGAAUACCGAAGAAUGUUAUCACGGGAGACACACGGCGGGUGCUAACGUCCGUCGUGAAGAGGGAAACAACCCAGACCGCCAGCUAAGGUCCCAAAGUCAUGGUUAAGUGGGAAACGAUGUGGGAAGGCACAGACAGCCAGGAUGUUGGCUUAGAAGCAGCCAUCAUUUAAAGAAAGCGUAAUAGCUCACUGGUCGAGUCGGCCUGCGCGGAAGAUGUAACGGGGCUAAACCAUGCACCGAAGCUGCGGCAGCGACACUAUGUGUUGUUGGGUAGGGGAGCGUUCUGUAAGCCGUUGAAGGUGUGCUGUGAGGCAUGCUGGAGGUAUCAGAAGUGCGAAUGCUGACAUAAGUAACGAUAAAGCGGGUGAAAAGCCCGCUCGCCGGAAGACCAAGGGUUCCUGUCCAACGUUAAUCGGGGCAGGGUGAGUCGACCCCUAAGGCGAGGCCGAAAGGCGUAGUCGAUGGGAAACAGGUUAAUAUUCCUGUACUUGGUGUUACUGCGAAGGGGGGACGGAGAAGGCUAUGUCAGCCGGGCGACGGUUGUCCCGGUUUAAGCAUGUAGGCGGAGGUUCCAGGUAAAUCCGGUACCUUAUUAACGCUGAGGUGUGAUGACGAGGCACUACGGUGCUGAAGUGAUAAAUGCCCUGCUUCCAGGAAAAGCCUCUAAGCAUCAGGUAACACGAAAUCGUACCCCAAACCGACACAGGUGGUCAGGUAGAGAAUACCAAGGCGCUUGAGAGAACUCGGGUGAAGGAACUAGGCAAAAUGGUGCCGUAACUUCGGGAGAAGGCACGCUGAUAUGUAGGUGAAGCCCCUGCGGGUGGAGCUGAAAUCAGUCGAAGAUACCAGCUGGCUGCAACUGUUUAUUAAAAACACAGCACUGUGCAAACACGAAAGUGGACGUAUACGGUGUGACGCCUGCCCGGUGCCGGAAGGUUAAUUGAUGGGGUUAGCGGCAACGCGAAGCUCUUGAUCGAAGCCCCGGUAAACGGCGGCCGUAACUAUAACGGUCCUAAGGUAGCGAAAUUCCUUGUCGGGUAAGUUCCGACCUGCACGAAUGGCGUAAUGAUGGCCAGGCUGUCUCCACCCGAGACUCAGUGAAAUUGAACUCGCUGUGAAGAUGCAGUGUACCCGCGGCAAGACGGAAAGACCCCGUGAACCUUUACUAUAGCUUGACACUGAACACUGGUCCUUGAUGUGUAGGAUAGGUGGGAGGCUUUGAAGCGUG